rnacentral:rRNA from 1 species
AUUGAACGCUGGCGGCAUGCCUUACACAUGCAAGUCGAACGCCCCGCAAGGGGAGUGGCAGACGGGUGAGUAACGCGUGGGAACAUACCCUUUUCUACGGAAUAGCUCUGGGAAACUGGAAUUAAUACCGUAUACGCCCUACGGGGGAAAGAUUUAUCGGGGAAGGAUUGGCCCGCGUUGGAUUAGCUAGUUGGUGGGGUAAAGGCCUACCAAGGCGACGAUCCAUAGCUGGUCUGAGAGGAUGAUCAGCCACAUUGGGACUGAGACACGGCCCAAACUCCUACGGGAGGCAGCAGUGGGGAAUAUUGGACAAUGGGCGCAAGCCUGAUCCGGCCAUGCCGCGUGAGUGAUGAAGGCCUUAGGGUUGUAAAGCUCUUUCACCGAUGAAGAUAAUGACGGUAGUCGGAGAAGAAGCCCCGGCUAACUUCGUGCCAGCCGCCGCGGUAAGAC